rnacentral:misc_RNA from 1 species
UGCUUGGGCUCCGCAGAGCUGUAGACAUAUUUGUUCUGGUGGGGAUGACGGACAGGCGCUCAUUUGGGAGUUGCCAACUGUUGCAGGGCCUAAUGGGAUUGAUCCCAUGUCAGUGUACACCGCCGGAGCUGAGAUUAAUCAAAUUCAGUGGUCUGCUGCACAGCGUGAUUGGAUUGCCAUUACGUUUUCUAACAAGUUGCAGCUGCUUAAAGUAUAAAUCGAAUGGAAUAAUUGAAGUUUUACUUGUA